GUCGAAAUAACGUUUUUCAAUAUUAAACAGUGGGAAAAAUCCGCACAAUUUCAUUUGCAUUAGUAUGUUUUUGAUUACAUUUUUCAACAGUUUACAAACACUAUAAUUUGUGUAAAAUGUCCGUCUUUGUUCCGUCUUACCGUAAAAAGUCGACGUUGUCCAGGUGCACCUGUCACAACCAAGGAAUUCAAUCUUGAAAGUAUGCACGGUACGCAAUGUAUCAAUGUCUACCACUGUACUGUACAAGUGUUACUCAUACGAGCUCCCCGCCCGCUGUGGUGUUUCGUGUAUCGUCACUGACGCCUGUAUUUGAGCUCAUAGGUCGAGCCCUCAAAACCACAGAUUCCCGUGGUUACAAAGGUUGGUUUUUCCAGUAGAACAUUCCGUUCGCACCAGAUAGACCUUCUUGCUUUUAAACUCAACAAAAACAGAAAUGCUCAUCUUAGGACCCAAGAAACAAAGAGCUUUGUUGGCAGAUCUCACUGUGAACCUCUACAGCUACAUGGUCAUAUCCCAAAAAACUGCUCACCUCGCAACUCCUAGCUCCAGCUGACUCCCUCUGUAUCCUCCUGCUGAUCCUGUCCCUGGCAGGCCUGGGCAGCUCUACUCCCAUUGACAGUCCCAGUCCCCAUCUGCUUUGUAAUGUCUGCCCUCUACAGCACAAAGAAAGAUCGUGCAGUAGUCACUUCACCACAGAGUGUCACCUGAAUGAACGCUGCGGUACUAGCACAGGGCAUUUUGGUUCCAUCCACAUCCUGUCUGCACAAGGCUGCCUGACUUAUGACCUCUGUAACUCCACCCACCCUGUGCUCUACCGUGGGGUCAGUUACAAUGUGACAUACAGGUGUUGCUGUAGGAACAGAUGUAACCAUCCACUGGCCCCAGAGAUGCAUACAGAGAGGCUGUCAGGAGGGAUGACGGAGCCCAGUGAGGUGCCUCCUAUGACGAACGACCCUCUGGACAGAUGUCCUGGAGAUUGACAUCUCCACGACCACGCUGUCACAUUCCCAUGUAUAACCGUAUCCUCUGAGACCUCCAGGAGUGGCUAGAGACUACUACUGAGAUCUGUCACUGGGGACAGGUCUAUUGGCAACUGACUUUCCACAGUCUCACACAAGGGAUGAUGCCCAUUUUAAUUGUUUAGGUUAAAUUGUGAAAUUGCCUAUUUAUUCACAUUUUCAAAAUGGUUUGCUGUUACUUAGUCAUGGUUCCCAGUGCUGGAAAAUGUAGCCAAUAAAAUUAUUUUGUUUGCAUUCCUGUCCUUUUAUUAGUGUGCCCUUUCUGGAGUCUGAAGACAUGAACAGUGCCACUGUUAGACAUGGGUUCCUUGUCAUUUAUCUCUGCUGGAUCACAUUUUUCAAAUUUGAUUUGUAGUAUUGAUCAUAAUUGAGGCAUGGUGGAAUAAAUCAUUUGAUCU
ensembl:lncRNA